UUUCCGGUUUUGUCCAGGUACCAGUGCCGAUAUUUGGUUUUUUCGAUUCUGUCCGGGUACCGGUGCCCAUAUUUGGAGAUUUCGGUACUGGCAUUUAUAGUUUCUUUAAUUCAAUUUAUUUUUUCUUCAUAUCUCUUUGGUUCCUUUUUUAACUGGCAUAGCAAAAUAAAUGCAUUAAUAUUUAACAACAUCGCUAUAUAACCUGAGCAUUUGAAAUCAGCUUUGAUUUUCAAGGUCGAGUUAAACUUAUUAUAUUCAAAAUGAAUAAGCGUUUGGCAUUUGGUACCGCUAAAAAAUUUCUCGUGCCGAAAAGUUUUCGGUACCGAUUCGGUACCCGCUCUUACACGUUUUCGGUACCGGUUUUCCCGGUUCGGUCAUAAAAAACUUAAAAGAGCUUAGUUUUUUUAUUAAACAUUAAUCACUGUUCAUUCAACUCUCUAACUAUCAUAUAUUAAUUUUACUUUACUUUUUUCCUAAAUUUGGUCGUUGUUUGGUUGCCAUUUAGCACAGUGUUUGCUUAUCACAUUUAGUUCCGUACCCACUUUUUUACGUUUUCGGUAACAAUUUUUUCAGUUCGGUCCGGGUACCAGUGCCGAUAUUUGACAGAUUUCGGUACGGGGGUUAUACGCAAUUUCUUGAUACACCAGAGGUUCUUUUAAGUUGUUUGAUGCAGCUAUGACGUCGAAAAAAGUAUGAGAUGAUGACACGACUGACUGAAGCACCAAGUCACCAAUGAAGGCAUGGGGGGUCAAACAAAACACAUGAAACCGUUUUGAAUUUUCUAUAAAAAGCCAUAGCAUGUAAACAAGUCUAAUAUGUAGGCCGUUUCCCGUUUAAUGUAGUAUGUAAACAAAUCUAAUAUGUAGUAAAUGCCUAGACU
rnacentral:lncRNA from 1 species